UUUCUUGACCAUGUGAUGGAUUGUAGAUGGAGUAGAUCUUAACAUGCUUUUUAAUUAUUAAAUGAGCGUUAUUAAGUGUGUGCCCUCUCCUAGGGCUGGGAAUAUACAGCCUUUGAGGAGAACUCAUGGUAUAAAGGACUUAAUUGGUGUUGCUGGUCUGUCUCCAUGAAUGAAACCAAGUAGGAGGUUCGUUCAUGAAGCAGAUACUUAAACACCUGCCUGUGCAAGGCGCUGUGCUGGCGUGAGCUCGUGGUGGAGCUUGGGGAGUAGGAGGUACAGGUGAGUCGUGUACAUGGAUAACUAAGGCACAAGUGAGAAAUGCCAGGUGCCCCAGGAGAGCAAGAAAGUAGUGUGAGCUCUUUCUCAUAGGAAAAUAGUGUUUCUAGCCCAGGAAGGCUUUAUGAAAAGAGCAUGUGUACUAGGUCUUAAAGGACGACCGGUGGUGGCACUUCUCAAACCCCUAGACAGAUGUUUUUAUUCCUCUUCCAUCGCCUUACACACCAUGAACAGUUUGUCUUUUUCUGACAGUUGGCUCAGUGUUUAUCCUGGGCUGUACAAAAGGUUAAGCACUCGGCUGCUAACCAGAAGGUUGGCGGUUUGAACUCACCCAGAGGCUCUUUGGAAGACAUUCUUGGCAGUCUGCCUCCAAAAGGUCACAGCCUUGAAAACCCUUCGGAGCAGUUCUGCUCUGCACAAAUGGGAUCACUAUGAGUUAGAAUCAACUGGACAGCAACUAAAAACAGCAGCAGAGCUGGGCGGUAUGAAUUCACCACCAGCUCCACCACCAGUUGCUGGGACGUUGACUCCAACUCUUGGUGAUCCCAUGUGUGUCAGAGUAGAACUGUGCUGCUUGGGGUUUUCAGUGGCUGAUAUUUCGGAAGUAGAUCUCAGUGGCUGAUAUUUCGGAAGUAGAUCACUAGGCCUUUUUUGCAAGGUGCCUCUGGGUGGGCUGGAACCUCCAACCUUUCAGUUAGCAGCCAUGUGAGUUGACCGUUUGCACCACACAGGGACUUGGAUAUUAAUUUAGUAAGAGCGUAAUUAGUUUCUGUUACACUCCUUCAGAGGCUAGCCUAGUUCUUGUGAGUAUAGGACGGUAGUUAAUUAUAUCAUGGGUUUUGGGGCAGAGUACCUACUGUGGUCAGGAUAAAAUGAAUAGUGUAUGAAAGUGGUUCGAAUAAAGCCUGACACAUAGUAAGUGCUUGGUAAAUGACAGCUUCUGCUUAAACAGUGCUGGAUUAAUUCCUGAAAGUAGUUCACCCAUAGGGUGUUCUUGGUGUCUGCUUCGGUUUGGGCUUUCUGAGAGACGAGAUCGCUUCACGCGAGUUUUCUGUGGUCAAGUCUCAGCUGUUGUCGACAGAGAUCACAGUCUUCCUCCACCCCUGUCAUCCGUAAUUGUUUGUUCUUUGCUUGGUUGCUUUAGGGAUGUGGUACUUUGGGUGGAAACAUGAUCCUUUCAGAAGCCUGUGUCCAGGCGAGCUCUGAUAGAUCAUGGCUUAAUUAUUUUAAGAAGCACCUCAGAGGAGCUGCUGAGGAGGGGCUCCCUUUGUGUGUUGAGAGACCUAGCAGGAAACGCUGGUUUUUCUAUUCCAGGGUUGUUGAAACUGAACUCAAACUUUAUCCGUGGACUUGGAGAGGCCCCAGUUUUCUCCUUACUACAGCCCUAAUGAGCUGCUGGGUGUCAUCCUGUCCCACUUCCGUUAGUCUGAACCACACCAGGAUGGUCUCCUUGGUGGCAGUGCGGCAUUCUUGAGUGUAAGACAGCCUGUGUCUUCUGACCUAACUCCUUUCUCAGGUGCUGGGGCUGUAUUUCGGAGUCACGUGGUGGCUGGAGUGACCUGCCGUUUACAGGACUGGAAGAGCCGGUUGAAACACUGGCAUUAGAGGUGUCCCAGCGCCUGCUUCCUCCUGGUGCCUCCCAUCAGCAGGGCUAUGUCUGCAGCUCUCCCGUGGAGCAUGCACUGAGCAGGCCAGCCAGGCCUCCUGAGGUUCCAGUCUGGAAGCCACUGUGGCUUGGUCUUCGACAGUGAAUACUUUUUAAUGUAGAGCGGAGCUGUGGGCCUGUUCCAGUCAGCAUGCCACCGCACCCUGUCCCUAGCUUAGGCUCUGCUGUGUUGGCUGGUGUGUUAAAGUUGCUCUUCACGUGUGUUUGUGUGUGGAGGGUAAGAGAAGAGGCGGCGCUCUUUGGGGACACUUUGCGUGGACUGGAGCAAUUGCUUUCACUUGUGAGAGGAUAUGAAAGAAAAACAUUAAGUAGAAAUUGCAGUGUAAGACACAGAUGAGAGGAUGAGCAUAGUGAAACUGAACAGAAACAUGAAGUUAUUAAAAAAAAGUUAAGUUAUAAAAUGCUUGGAGACCCCACAGACUUCAGUUUUAUUUUAUUUUUCUAAGUUUUCGUGUUUUCCUGUGCUUCUGUAGCAGAUAGAUACCUCCCACAUCUUGAAUCCUUGUAACUGUGAUGCAAUGUUGAUGAUUAACCGGAUAAAUGAAGCGUUUGGCUUCUAAUCAUUUAGACGUUAUGUACACACACUCAUCCGCUCACAUAUGCACACCCACAGAUGCGUGUACCUGUCAUUGCACGAUAUUCUAAUGACUUUCCUCGUAGUAGCAGGACUUGGCUAUAAGCUUUUCUUCAUCUUGCUCCUUUCAGGUAUUUUUUGAGACUGGAUCUUUUUGAGAAGUAGGAGAAAGGAUCCUUUUGGUCCAUAGCACCUCACGGCUAAUUGGAGUUUUGUAAAUAUAAAAUGAAGCAUGACUGCUGUUCACUUUCUGUUUUGGGGAAAUUGUUCCCACUCUUAUCAGUAGCCGUGACAUCCGGCAUGGGGGUUAGUACAGUUAAUUCUUCUGUGUCAUGGCUGGUAGAGAGGGUUGAUCUCUAUGUAGAGACAGUCUCCUACACGCUGGCACAUUGCAGUUUUCAUUCACGGCUCAGGUGUUGGUGGUUCAUGUAAUAUACUUUUUCAUUGUACUCAGAAUACUUUUUCUAAAAACUGUUAAGAUGGGAAUUAAUAACCUUCAGUUAGAUCUAUCUACAUAAUUUAUGACUCUCAAUGCUUAUUUGUUAUCAUACCCUUUAAGUGUAAAAGUUAGUAUGAUUAGCAAUCUAUCUCUAACAGUAGGAAAAUAAAAUUUAAAAUCUAACCAUCAAUUUUGCGAUAAAGAUGCAGAUUCUGAAACUUGGGCUUUACCUGAGAAGUGUGUGUACAGUCGAUCCUCAUUAUUCCCAGUAGUCGUGUUCUGUAAAGUCCUCUCGAACUUAUAAUUAGUCCCGAACCUGCCUGUGUGCCAGGCGACUCACGCUGUCACUGCUCUGUGCAUGCGCAUGUUCGCAAGUGACCAUGAAAGCACCAUGAGUAUUGAUUUGGGGCUACAAAUAAAAUUCUAGCUGGUAGGUACAUUUACAACUACGAAUCCGUGGAUAAUAAGGGUUGACUGCACUUUGAUUGUAGUGUUUCAUUACCUUCAUACCUAGAGUGCUUUCCCCAAGUGGUUUGCAUUUUGUACCUGUUAUUACCGAGUAGGUUAAAAAUUUGUUCCUUUGAUUUCGUUGAAUCAGAAUUGCCUUGUUUUGGGCUGUUGCUGCUGGGAGAUGCCUACACGUGGGAAUGCACAGAGAUUGGAGGUACCACAUCGAUGAUCAAUACCUGGACUUAGUCAAGCUCCUAGAUGGCGACCAUGGCAGGUUCUUUAAAGUCACGGUGCUGGUUUUUCACUGGAUGCCAUCUGGUUUUUCACCAGGAUCUUAAGAGCAAAGUUCUCAUCAGUUGUAUUGUUGAAGUGAGCAGACUCAUUGUACAUCAGCAUUUUAGCCCGAGGCCUUCUUUUGCCUUUUAGGUGUGAAAGACAAUAGGAUAAAUUUUUAUUAUGCCUGAUACUACCAGGAUGUAGACUAAGAAUAUUACUUGUAGUAGUACAAAUAAAUCUGGUGUUUGUAAGGGUGUUACAGUGUGUGACCAAGUAGCUUGUUAUCCAAUGUUAUAUACAUUCUGUUCUAUUUCUCCUGUGUUAUUUAUGUAAAUGUAACAAGAGGUAUUUGCUAUACUACAUACUGCACUUUCUUGGACCAAUACAUAAAAAUCUAAGGCUAUUUUGUUAUCUCAUGUCACCUUGGCUUAAUGAGGUAGAGAUCACUGUGGUGUAUCUAUGUCACUAGCAACAUCACUAUGUCUGUUAUUUGUCACAUAGUGAUUGAUAAAUUUCUUAAAAAGAUUCCUCCAAUUCAAAUAUACUGUAAGUAGGAAUUAAAUUUACCAACUAUACCUUUGGUGUUGGACGAGUGGGCUUUCUUCUAACUAUACCUUUGGUGUUGGACCAGUGGGCUUUCUUCUGACUCUCGUUUUACAAAGGGUAACAAAUUAACAUUACCUUUCUAGUAUUUACUACGAAUAUCGAAAGAUAAUCUUAAAGUUCUCAAAGUGUAGUCAUUGCCUAGAUUAGCUAGGAAUCUAAACAAGAGAUUGUCUAUGUAAAUUUACUAUUAGUUGGAAAGGGGUCAUUUAAAUUUGUUAGUUGCAUCUACCACACAAAAGCAUAUCAUCUAUAAAGCACACAAAGUUUGUCUAGAGAAAACAGAAGGCAUAGAAAAGUUUAUGUAUAAUAAACAAGUUUCUAUUAAAAAAUACAUGAUUAGCAAGAUAAUACAGGAUGGAUUUCUCCUGUUGGAGCUCUCUAGUUAAUCUGUCUAAAACAUAUUAAGUGUUUUCCCUGAGGGCAAGCUGUCUCUCAUCGGUUUACCUAUUAAGUCAUGGGUCACUUUCUCAAAAGCAGAAGUGGAAUUUAAGACAAAAUGGAGUCUGAGUCAUGAGGUUGAUCUCUGAGAACCUGAUUUCUUUAAGUUAUAUAAUUUUCUAUAUAGCAAGAGGGUAAGAUUUUGAUUACAAGCAUUAGACAGGUAUUUCAUACAACAUUGUCUUGAAAACUGAUUAAACCAAUUACUGAUUUACCUUAAAUAUAACUAUUUACUGAUUUUUGGAGUCAGUUUCUCGUAGCAGACUGAAUUCUUCAAAAAAAAAAAGCAUAGCGCCUGGAGCAAAAUGGUCUUGUUAGUUUAUCUGGACAGUUGUUUGACUACUAGUGGCUUUAGGAAUCAGUUUUUUUCUCAAAGCUCAAGGUUUAAAAGGACACCCAAAGGCGAUGGCUUGUGUAGGUUGUCCCAACCUCUAUGAAAGUCAGAAAUCUGGAUUUUAGGAAAAUUACAGUCUUUCAUGGUUCCCUCUUUGGAUCAGGAUCUUGUAAUAGAAUCUUUGAUUAAAAAUGUUUAAUAAAUGGUAAUUGGGCACUAUCUGGUUUUUAAGAUCUCAGGCACCAUACAGUAAAUCAGGAGGUAGAAUAGAAACACUAACACUAGGCCAAUUAUCUGAAAUAAAUGAAACCAUGACUCUAAGGUCUUUGAACCAAGGAAGCAAAUCUCAUGAGGUGUUUGUUUACCCAUAAGUAGCAUCAGUAACUGGUUUUCAUGUGUCUCAGUAACAGCUACGUUCUCUCAAACCUAAGAUUGUGUAUUAAUAUAAACACAGCAACAUUUAUCUAUUAAGGAACAAACUAUUCUUUGAGAGAACUAAUAGAAAAUCUGAUGUUAUUCUCAUUUGUAAAAUCAUAGGUCAAAUUUUAGGUACUUUUCUGGUUAUGAUAUUUACAACUUUGCUAAGUUUACCAAAAGGAACUUCUAAUUCAAGAGUUAAAAUAAUUAAACCCAUUAGGUAGAUAAUUUAGGAGAAAAGAGGAAAAUGGUUUCUUAUGCCUAGAAUGUAGGACCCUAAAGCGUUAUUCCCAGAAAGACUUUAAAAUAUCAGAAAUAUUUUUACAUAAAACCCAUAGCAUCGUUUCGUUUACUCAGUCUUAUGUAGUUAACUUCUGUUGCAGGUGAUUCUGGAUGACUAUAGUUUGCAAAACCAUCAGCUUCUGUAUAGAGUUCUGGAAAUCUUGAUUGAGUCUAGUCACGGUCUUUUUUUUGCAAGUUCAAUACAGUCCAUAUUUUUUUGUUGAGAUAUUCUGGUCAAAUGUUUUCAGAAAAUCAGCAAAGUAAAAAUUUAUCUGAAGAUGACAAAACUUAUUAUGGCCAUGAUUAAUGUAUAAACGUAACUCUUAAUAGUCAAAGACCUGAUAGAAAUUAAUUAAUUACAAGCAUAAUAUAAAGGCCAAGUAAAAUUAGUUUAAAAAAAAAAAAAACACUUUAGAUAAAAAUAUUUUUAAAUAUA